rnacentral:rRNA from 1 species
GACGAACGCUGGCGGCGUGCUUAACACAUGCAAGUCGAACGGUAAGGCCUUCGGGUACACGAGUGGCGAACGGGUGAGUAACACGUGGGUGAUCUGCCCUGCACCUUGGGAUAAGCCUGGGACACUGGGUCUAAUACCGAAUAGGACCGCGCUCUGCAUGGGGUGUGGUGGAAAGCUUUUGCGGUGUGGGAUGGGCCCGCGGCCUAUCAGCUUGUUGGUGGGGUAAUGGCCUACCAAGGCGACGACGGGUAGCCGGCCUGAGAGGGUGACCGGCCACACUGGGACUGAGAUACGGCCCAGACUCCUACGGGAGGCAGCAGUGGGGAAUAUUGCACAAUGGGCGCAAGCCUGAUGCAGCGACGCCGCGUGAGGGAUGACGGCCUUCGGGUUGUAAGCCUCUUUCAGCAGGGACGAAGCGCAAGUGACGGUACCUGUAGAAGAAGGACCGGCCAACUACGUGCCAGCAGCCGCCGUAACAC